CCUACGGGGGGCAGCAGUGGGGAAUAUUGCACAAUGGGGGGAACCCUGAUGCAGCGACGCCGCGUGAAGGAAGAAGUAUUUCGGUAUGUAAACUUCUAUCAGCAGGGAAGAAAAUGACGGUACCUGACUAAGAAGCCCCGGCUAACUACGUGCCAGCAGCCGCGGUAAUACGUAGGAUGCGAGCGUUAUCCGGAUUCAUUGGGUUUAAAGGGUGCGCAGGCGGGCCUUUAAGCCGGCGGUGAAAUCGCGGGGCUCAACCCCGCCGAGCCGUCGGAACUGGGGGCCUUG
rnacentral:rRNA from 1 species